UUCGCCGCCCGUCGGUGUCAACUGGCAUGUCCUGUGGAACGUCCUGCCGGUGGCGGACCGGGCUUUCGGCUUGCGUAAGGGCUUACGCUCGAAGCAGGCCGAACAGUACCGGCCGCCGGUCCAAUCCCGCCACGGUGCUCUUCACCGAGUGUCGAGGUGGGCCGGCACGUUUACUUUGAACAAAUUAGAGUGCUUAAAGCAGGCUGGUGUCCGCCUGAAUACUGUGUGCAUGGAAUAAUAGAAUAGGACCUCGGUUCUAUUUUGUUGGUUUUCGGAACCCGAGGUAAUGAUUAAUAGGGACAGGCGGGGGCAUUCGUAUUGCGACGUUAGAGGUGAAAUUCUUGGAUCGUCGCAAGACGAACCUAAGCGAAAGCAUUUGCCAAGUAUGUUCUCGUUAAUCAAGAACGAAAGUUAGAGGUUCGAAGGCGAUCAGAUACCGCCCUAGUUCUAACCAUAAACGAUGCCAGCCAGCGAUCCGCCGAAGUUCCUCCGAUGACUCGGCGGGCAGCUUCCGGGAAACCAAAGCUUUUGGGUUCCGGGGGAAGUAUGGUUGCAAAGCUGAAACUUAAAGGAAUUGACGGAAGGGCACCACCAGGAGUGGAGCCUGCGGCUUAAUUUGACUCAACACGGGAAACCUCACCAGGCCCGGACACCGGAAGGAUUGACAGAUUGAGAGCUCUUUCUUGAUUCGGUGGGUGGUGGUGCA
rnacentral:rRNA from 1 species